rnacentral:rRNA from 1 species
AUGAACGCUGGCGGCGUGCUUAACACAUGCAAGUCGAACGGAAAGGCCCAAGCUUGCUUGGGUACUCGAGUGGCGAACGGGUGAGUAACACGUGGGUGAUCUGCCCUGCACUUCGGGAUAAGCCUGGGAAACUGGGUCUAAUACCGGAUAGGACGAUGGUUUGGAUGCCAUUGUGGAAAGUUUUUUCGGUGUGGGAUGAGCUCGCGGCCUAUCAGCUUGUUGGUGGGGUAAUGGCCUACCAAGGCGUCGACGGGUAGCCGGCCUGCGAGGGUGUACGGCCACAUUGGGACUGAGAUACGGCCCAGACUCCUACGGGGGGCAGCAGUGGGGAAUAUUGCACAAUGGGCGCAAGCCUGAUGCAGCGACGCCGCGUGGGGGAUGACGGCCUUCGGGUUGUAAACUCCUUUCGCUAGGGACGAAGCGUUUUUGUGACGGUACCUGGAGAAGAAGCACCGGCUAACUACGUG